AUACUAUUGUCAAGAUAAUUUAAUGGAGAUAAAUUUUCAAAAAUUGAUUUAGUGCACUAGAAACGGAAAAAAACUUGAGAAGUGUCAAGGGACACCCGGAUAGAACGAAGUUCCUUUCGAUUAAUUAGUGAAGGAAUUGUAAUAAAAUUUUAUUUUAUUUAGAAAGAAGAAACGAAAAUAACCCUGAUAGCUAUCAAAUUGUAAAAGUUAACGUUAAAAUGCAAUCCAACUUAUGUACAAUCUAGUGCCAGAAAUUCACUUUAACUUUUCUCAAUAUCUUGUAGUACAAGUCUUAAUAUGAACUUUUAGUGAAGUUGGACAAAACACUUAUUGAUAUGGCAGAUUAUCAGAAUUUGUCACUUUUUUCCAUCGUUCGACCGGGGAGUCGAACCUGGGUAGAUUGGUUACGAGGCAAGGUCUCUACCAGAUGAGCUAUCCGAGAUACUUGACACGAAUGCAACUUUAGUCACUUAUUUCUGACAUAUUAUUUCUAUAAUGUACUAGCUGACCCGGUGAACUUCAUAUCACCUACAAUAUAUUUUGUUACACCUUUCGAUCAGCGAUUAUCAAUCUUUAAACUCUAAUCUACUUCGAUAAAAAAUAAAUACUGGCUGUAUGAAGUACAGUUAGAAUUUUCUCAAGUUUUUAAAUAAAA